rnacentral:rRNA from 1 species
UACGGGGGGGGGCAAGCGUUUGUUCGGAAUUACUGGGCGUAAAGGGCUCGUAGGUGGCCAACUAAGUCGGACGUGAAAUCCCUCGGCUUAACCGGGGAACUGCGUCCGAUACUGGUUGGCUUGAGUUUGGGAGAGGGAUGCGGAAUUCCAGGUGUAGCGGUGAAAUGCGUAGAUAUCUGGAGGAACACCGGUGGCGAAGGCGGGUCUCUGGGCCGAUACUGACGCUGAGGAGCGAAAGCGUGGGGAUCAAACAGG